AAACAAGUAUUUCUGAAAUUAUUAAUAGAAGAAUGCAUACUUGCUAAUGGUUAAACAUGUAUAUUUCUUCUAUAUUUUAUAAGUAAUAUUGUUGAUCAAUAUGAUUAAUAUUCAAAUUUCUAUAUCCUAAGUACACUAUACAGUUUAAAAUUUUAUUUAGUUAGAUAUGAGUUGAGGUAAGAUAUUUGAUAAUCCAGUUUGCACAAAUGAUAAGAAGCUAAUGACUUUGAAGAUGACGACAACCAGCAAGAAGAACAUGUCUUAAUAAAGAACUCAAGUUUGUAUGAUACGUGCAGAUUCUAAACUUCAAGAUUAAUAUUGCUGCAGUAUGAUCCAAGUAUUUUGUCUUUUUUUCAUUCAAUCCUCGACAACCAAAGGAAAGACACAAAAAGUAAUGUAAAAAGCUGUAAAUCAUCAUAGUAUUCCAUAUACUGUAUUAAAGUGAAAUUGUACAACACACAUGCUUGUUAACGGAAUACCUUAACUUCAGAAAUCAUUAUUCACUACUUUAAGAAAGGCAAAAACAAAAAGAUCAAAAAUAGUUUAGAUAAAAUUCUGCUAGAUUCCCUCGUGUCCCUUUGUUAUUGCUGCUAAGCCUGCUCCAGUCCUACUUCAAGGUGGAUCUAGGCGACACACACUACUUGCCAAGCUUUUCAAACGUAUGAUACAUCAC
rnacentral:lncRNA from 1 species